rnacentral:rRNA from 1 species
ACCAUGCACCGAAGCUGCGGCAGCGACGCUUAUGCGUUGUUGGGUAGGGGAGCGUUCUGUAAGCCUGCGAAGGUGGCCUGUGAGGGUUGCUGGAGGUAUCAGAAGUGCGAAUGCUGACAUAAGUAACGAUAAAGCGGGUGAAAAGCCCGCUCGCCGGAAGACCAAGGGUUCCUGUCCAACGUUAAUCGGGGCAGGGUGAGUCGACCCCUAAGGCGAGGCCGAAAGGCGUAGUCGAUGGGAAACGGGUUAAUAUUCCCGUACUUGGUGUUACUGCGAAGGGGGGACGGAGAAGGCUAUGUUGGCCGGGCGACGGUUGUCCCGGUUUAAGCGUGUAGGUGUGUGUUCCAGGUAAAUCCGGUUCACUUUAACACUGAGGCGUGACGACGAGGCACUACGGUGCUGAAGCAACAAAUGCCCUGCUUCCAGGAAAAGCCUCUAAGCAUCAGGUAACAUCAAAUCGUACCCCAAACCGACACAGGUGGUCAGGUAGAGAAUACCAAGGCGCUUGAGAGAACUCGGGUGAAGGAACUAGGCAAAAUGGUGCCGUAACUUCGGGAGAAGGCACGCUGACACGUAGGUGAAGUGAUUUACUCAUGGAGCUGAAGUCAGUCGAAGAUACCAGCUGGCUGCAACUGUUUAUUAAAAACACAGCACUGUGCAAACACGAAAGUGGACGUAUACGGUGUGACGCCUGCCCGGUGCCGGAAGGUUAAUUGAUGGGGUCAGCGCAAGCGAAGCUCCUGAUCGAAGCCCCGGUAAACGGCGGCCGUAACUAUAACGGUCCUAAGGUAGCGAAAUUCCUUGUCGGGUAAGUUCCGACCUGCACGAAUGGCGUAAUGAUGGCCAGGCUGUCUCCACCCGAGACUCAGUGAAAUUGAACUCGCUGUGAAGAUGCAGUGUACCCGCGGCAAGACGGAAAGACCCCGUGAACCUUUACUAUAGCUUGACACUGAACAUUGAGCCUUGAUGUGUAGGAUAGGUGGGAGGCUUUGAAGUGUGGA